rnacentral:misc_RNA from 1 species
GCGGUGACAUUUGUUUGUGAUGGAGGUGUAAUGUUGUUAUUUGGUUCGUAUGUACAGAACCCGGUGAAUGUGUCAUUUUGUUCUGAAAUAUGAGUGUGAAAGCAUUUGAGUGUACCUCUGUCAUAGACUCCUUUCACGGCCCGGGAGACAGCGAAAUUUCAAAGAUUGAAUCCAUAGAAUGCUGUGGCAAAGAUCUUUACUUGGGCACGACUGAUAGUUGCAUCAUAAGUUAUGUUUUGGAAGAAAAAUACCAGGAAAAUGGUAACAUUGUGUACAACUGCAGGAAGGUGAAACAUAGGAAUCUUGAACAGAGGAAGCCAAUACAUUGCAUUAAAUCACUAUCAGCAAUAAAUAGACUGCUUGUUCAAUGUGAUACCUCUCUGCUACUUUUUAAUGUUCCUGAAUUGGAUAUCAUUGGCAAUGGGCCAAGGAUUCGAAGUGUAACAACAUUUUGUAUGAACCAGAACCCAACAUCUUGUCCAUUUCCACUGGUACAGAUGUGUGUGGCACGAAAACGCCAGUUGCAGGUUUUCAACUUGGCAGAUGACAGGCUGGCUCUUGUGAAAGAGAUAAAUGUAUCUGAACCAGUGCAAAAGAUGGCAAUGAUUGGUCCAUACAUAUGUACAGCUCUGCAGAGUCAGUAUUUGUUGUAUAACUUUGAGACAAAUGAUAUGCAGCAACUGUUCACAUAUGGUGGAGAUAAUUUUCUUCCACUUAUUUGCUCAAUAUCACAGGAUGAAUUUCUUGUUAGUGCACGUGAGGACUUAGGAAUGUUUGUGACGACUAAAGGUAUGUCAGAACGUCCUCCCGUGAGAUGGCCAUGCCCUCCUAUUUCUCUGACGUACUAUCAUCCUUACAUUCUUGGCUUGAAUGAGGAAGUGAUUGUCGUAUAUAGUAUUCUUGAUCAACAACAGAAGCAAGUGAUACCUUUUAGUGGUGGCAGGACUAUUGGUAAUUUUGAUGGUAGACUCUAUGUUAGUUCUGUCACUUCAGUUAAUGCCCUAAUUGCAAUAUCGUGGGAAGAACAAGUUGAGGGGUUGUUGCAGGAUUCAAGAGUUAAUGAAGCCCUCCAGCUAGCACAGAAUUCUAACAUGAGUGGAAUGACAAAGGAAAUGUUUCAGAUGAAGCUAAGGAAAAUUGAGCAGAAAUGUGGAUUUAUUUAUUUUGCUAACUCUGAGUUUGAUAAAGCUAGAGAAAUGUUUGAUAGUGGUGGUAUCGAUGUGCGAGAGGUUAUAUCGUUAUUUCCUGGAUUCUUACCAUCAUCAUCCAAUUUCAUAAGAUCUGUGCCGCCUCUUCAUGGGAUAGCAGAUGUCAACCAGUUGUUUCAUGGAAAUGAACAGAAACUGAAGACUGCUAAGUCGUUUUUACUGCAUUUUUUGCGAGAUCUUCGUGAUUCUUCAUCUACUAAACAUGCUCUGGAGGUUGACACAGCUCUGUUAAAACUGUAUUCAGAAUUAAAUGCUGCAGAACUUGAAGCCUUUAUUGUUGCGGGAGAAAUUACUUGUGAUGUGAAAGACUGCAGCAGUUGGCUAGAGCGUCAUAAAUGUUACCAUGCACUUGCUCUACUGUACCGUCACUCUCAGGAUCAUGAAAAAGCUCUCUCAGUAUGGCUUAAAAUUAUUUGUGGGGAAUACCAGGACAGCAGUUUCCCAGGACUUCAGUUUUUUGUGGAGUGUUUAGCAAAUCUUAAAGAUACUGAUCUUAUAUGGAGGUAUGCAGACUAUGUCUUAAGCCAAGAUGAAGAAAUUGGUGUUGGUGCUUUCACACUGCGUUCACAAGAUACUCACCAGGAUGGAGCUCUGAAGCCUGAUGUGGUGGUAGAAUAUCUUUACCGUUACCCAAAAGCAGUAAUAAAGUACCUCGAAUAUAUAGUACUAGACAAGAAUUUGCAGGUUGAAAAGUUUCACACUCAGUUAGCUAUUUUGUAUUUAGAAAACAUUGCAAAGCUCCAAAAAGAUGGAACUUCACUGGAAAAUAUUAAAACUAUUAGACUGAAACUUCAGACAUUGCUUCAGACUUCCAACCUUUGUCGCACGCAGCUCUUGUUGGGGAAAAUGCUUAACAGCAACCUGCAUGAGGAAUGUGCAGUAUUGUAUGGAAAGAUUGAAGAGCACGAGAAAGCUCUUGAUAUUUUGGUGAACCAAUUAAAGGAUUUUAAAGCUGCAGAACUGUAUUGUGAGAAUAAUGCACAAGGAAAGGAGCAAAAGUAUCGAAAUGAUAUUUUUUAUACUCUUUUGAGUAUUUAUCUAAACCCUAAAAUAGAGUCUCCAAAGAGGGAAGAAUUUGCAGUUAAUGCAAUAGAAUUGUUGUGUACAAGAGCUGUCGACUUCGAUGCUACCCAGGUUUUACAGACAAUCCCAUCUGCAUGGUCUAUUGCUGGUGUUGAAAUGUUUCUUACAUCCAGCAUAAGAGGUUCUAUGCACAAGUAUCGCAUGAGAAAGGUGGAAUCAUCACUAGCACGUGGUGAAAAUUUAUGUAAAGCAUUUGCAAGAUAUGAUGUAGAACGAACAUCAUGUGUAUUGCAGGAGACAAGUUACUGUUGUGUGUGUAAGAAACCAUUCACAGACAGUACUUUUGCGAGACAUCCAGACAGUGUUCUUACUCACAUUUCAUGUGAUAGAAAAGAUAAUGAUAGUUCUAUCACAAGCAAGCAUCAUAAUAUCUUCGAAAGCAGAUGACUUCUGUGUAUGUUAGAAGUCCUGCAGUAAGCAUACCUAGUCAAUGCAACUGUAUAUGUCAAGAUGUUUCUAACCCAGACAUUGCAACAAGACUAAAAAUGUCAGAUACAGAUGGUGAACUGUCAAAGUAUGAAAAAUUGCAACAUACAAUGAAUGUGCCACCUCCAGUGCUCAAUUACUAAAACCUGGCACCUGGUAAAUUUAAUUUUUGUGUUGACUGCCUUGCUUUAAUACUGGCAUCUCAUUAUCUUACUAAUUUUAUGAAAAUACAGAUUCAUAAUUUGAUGAAUACCACCGCACAUACCU